UAGGGAAUCUUCGGCAAUGGACGAAAGUCUGACCGAGCAACGCCGCGUGAGUGAAGAAGGUUUUCGGAUCGUAAAACUCUGUUGUUAGAGAAGAACAAGGACGUUAGUAACUGAACGUCCCCUGACGGUAUCUAACCAGAAAGCCACGGCUAACUACGUGCCAGCAGCCGCGGUAAUACGUAGGUGGCAAGCGUUGUCCGGAUUUAUUGGGCGUAAAGCGAGCGCAGGCGGUUUCUUAAGUCUGAUGUGAAAGCCCCCGGCUCAACCGGGGAGGGUCAUGGGAAACUGGGAGGCUUGAGUGCAGAAGAGGAGAGUGGAAUUCCAUGUGUAGCGGUGAAAUGCGUAGAUAUAUGGAGGAACACCAGUGGCGAAGGCGGCUCUCUGGUCUGUAACUGACGCUGAGGCUCGAAAGCGUGGGGAGCAAACAGG
rnacentral:rRNA from 1 species